ensembl:lncRNA novel transcript, antisense to SLC12A6
GAUGUACAUGGCUGCUGCAAAUGUGGUACCAAGAUAAAAGCAGAGGCCAACAGCCCCACCAAACUCUGGGCCCAGUGCCCGGGAAAUCAUAAAGUAUGAGCCCCCAGCUAAAAGACAAAACAGAAGAGGUCAUGUGCAUCUGCUCUUGAGAACUUGCAACGUUCAGGUGAUCUCUAGGAGCCAGUGCAGUACUUACACAGCAGCAGCAGAUAAGGACAAUUGCAAAAGCCUGAAGAACUCCAGCUGUGCCCACCACCCAUGUAAGGCGUAAAAAAAGGAUCACUCCAAAAAUAUUUUGUAGACAUGGGAGGUAGACACCCAUGAAGGUACCCAUUUGGGGGGUCUAGAAAGAAAGACAUUGAUAAAAAAUCACACAGUUAUCCUAAA